GACGAACGCUGGCGGCGUGCUUAACACAUGCAAGUCGAACGGAGCGAAUGAAAGCUUGCUUUUAUGAGCUUAGUGGCAAACGGGUGAGUAACACGUAGACAACCUGCCGACAGGAUGGGGACAACAUUCCGAAAGGAAUGCUAAUACCGAAUGAAGCGGAGGAGAGGCAUCUCUCUUCCGUGAAAGAUGGCCUCUUUUUAUGCUAUCACCUGUUGAUGGGUCUGCGUCUGAUUAGCUGGUUGGUGAGGUAACGGCUCACCAAGGCGACGAUCAGUAGCCGGUCUGAGAGGAUGAACGGCCACAUUGGGACUGAGACGCGGCCCAGACUCCUACGGGAGGCAGCAGUGGGGAAUCUUCCGCAAUGGGCGCAAGCCUGACGGAGCAACGCCGCGUGAGUGAAGAAGGUCUUCGGAUCGUAAAGCUCUGUUGACGGGGACGAACGUGCGGAGUGCGAAUAGCGCUUUGUAAGACG
rnacentral:rRNA from 1 species